rnacentral:rRNA from 1 species
UACGGAGGGGCUAGCGUUGUUCGGAAUUACUGGGCGUAAAGCGCACGUAGGCGGCUUUGUAAGUUAGAGGUGAAAAGCCCGGGGCUCAACUCCGGAAUUGCCUUUAAGACUGCAUCGCUAGAAUUGUGGAGAGGUAAGUGGAAUUCCGAGUGUAGAGGCGAAAAUUCGUAGAUAUUCGGAAGAAACACCAGUGGCGAAGGCGACUUACUGGACACAUAUUGACGCUGAGGUGCGAAAAGCGUGGGGAGCAAACAGG